rnacentral:rRNA from 1 species
GGAAUAUUGGACAAUGGGCGAAAGCCUGAUCCAGCCAUGCCGCGUGCAGGAAGACGGCCCUCUGGGUUGUAAACUGCUUUUAUACGGGAAUAAACCCCUCGACGUGUCCAGGGCCGACGGUACCGUACGAAUAAGCACCGGCCACAUCCGUGCCAGCAGCCGCGGUAAAACGGAGGGUGCAAGCGUUAUCCGGAUUUAUUGGGUUUAAAGGGUCCGUAGGCGGAAAAUUAAGUCAGAGGUGAAAUCCUGCAGCUCAACUGUAGAAUUGCCUUUGAUACUGGUUUUCUUGAAUAUGUACGAAGUGGGCGGAAUGUGUCAUGUAGCGGUGAAAUGCUUAGAUAUGACACAGAACACCGAUUGCGAAGGCAGCUCACUAGUCCAUUAUUGACGCUGAGGGACGAAAGCGUGGGGAGCG